rnacentral:tRNA from 1 species
AAUAUAGUGCCUGAUUUAAAAGGAUAGCUUUGAUAGAGCUAAUAAUGUAGGAUCUCCUACCUAUAUUA